GUCUAAGGCCGUACCACCCUGAAAAUGCUGGACUCUACCUGAUCUCAGGAGUUAAGCAGGGUCAGACCUGGUUCUUGCUUGAGUAGGAGAAACCAGAGGCCCC
rnacentral:rRNA from 1 species